rnacentral:pre_miRNA from 1 species
CGACUACUCCCUCCUUUCCGAAUUACUUGUCACACAUAUGGAUGUAUCUAGAUGUAUUUUUGUUCUAGAUACAUCCAUUUCGGCGACGAGUAAUUUGGAACGGAUGGAGUAGUUC